UACAGCCAUAUCACUUUGAAACACUUGUUCACCUAUGACCACCUCAGUCAAGCAAUGUCGAUCCUGGUCAGUACCUAGAUGGGUGACCACUUGGGAAUAUCAGGUGCUGUAAG